GUGCUUGCUCCGGCAGCACAUAUGCUGAAAUUGGAACAAUACAGAGGAAAUUAGCAUGGCCCCUGUGCAAGAUGACACAAAAUUCAUGCAGCGUUCCAUACUUUU